rnacentral:miRNA from 1 species
UGAUUGAAACCUCUGAGAGUGA